CCUACGGGAGGCUGCAGUAGGGAAUAUUGCUCAAUGGGGGAAACCCUGAAGCAGCAACGCCGCGUGGAGGAUGACGGUUUUCGGAUUGUAAACUCCUUUUUUUAGAGAAGAGAAUUACGGUAUGUAACGAAUAAGCACCGGCUAACUCCGUUCCAGCAGCCGCGGUAAUACGGCGGGUGCAAGCGUUAUCCGGAUUGACUGGGCGUAAAGAGCGCGUAGGCUGGUUAGUAGGUCAGAUGUGACGGCCUACGGCUUAACCCUAGAACUGCAUUUGAAACUGUUAGUCUAGAGUAUGGGUGCGGUAGGUGGAAUUCUUUGUGUAGCGGUCAACUCCGUAGAGAUCACGAGGCACUCUCAUUGCGCAGGCGACCUGCUAGAC
rnacentral:rRNA from 1 species